UUCAGAUUUCCUUGACAUUUAUCCUCUCCCUUUAAAACACUUCUUAUUUUUAAAAUAACAAUUAACUGGCAUGGUAGACACACAGUCACUUGACUUUUAAGGAACCCUUAAAUCUCUUUUCUUAAAAUGCUCUUUUCUAAUUUUAUUAAUCAGUCCAAUUUUUUAAAUAGCUGAGACCAGCCAGAUAACUUAGCAAGAAAAAAGAAAAAAAAAAAAAAGAAGAAGAAUGUCAGGCUAGCAUACAAUAAUAUCAAAUAAAAUCUGGAGAUGACCUAUUAAAUAAUUUUUAUAUCAUUAAUUGGUCUACCCUGUGGAGCCCAUUUGCUCAAAUCUGUUUUAUAGAUAGCAAAUCUACACCGGUAAUAUGAACUGGAAGCCACCAAUGAAUUAAAACAGCUUGGCACUGUUUUAUCAAUUCAUAAUACCUACUUACUAGAUGUGAUUACCUAGAGGACAACUCUGGAAUGCACCAUCUCAGAGUGCUUUCACAUAAAAAGUCACAAAGGAGAAAAGACCAGUUGGGGAAAAGUUCUCUCUCCUGAUGCAUUAGCAAGAGAAAGAAAGUGACUGUGAAGAAUUGGAAGAGGGAACAGUAUCACAGCUGUGUUUCUUGGCCACAGACAGUGCGGCUGUACAAGCAUGGGUUUACUCAAGGAUCUACAAACUCCUGCAUGAACUCAUCAUGCUGCUGUUGGAGGAAACAACUGAGGAGAAACAACCCACCACUGCCUGACUGGC
rnacentral:lncRNA from 1 species